rnacentral:rRNA from 1 species
GACGAACGCUGGCGGCGUGCUUAACACAUGCAAGUCGAACGAAGUGGCGAACGGGUGAGUAACGCGUAAUCAACCUGCCCUUCAGAGGGGGACAACAGUUGGAAACGACUGCUAAUACCGCAUACUGAAGGAGGGGAUGGCGUCUGAUUAGGUAGUUGGGGGGGUAACGGCCCCCCAAGGCUAUGAUCAGUAGCCGGGCUGAGGGGUGUAACGGGCACAAUGGGACUGAGACACGGCCCAGACUCCUACGGUGAGCAGCAGUUGGGAAUCUUCCGGAAAUGACGAAAGGCUGACGGAGCAAAGCCGCGGGAGGGAUGACGGCCUUCGGGUUGUAAAGCUCUGUUAAUCGGGACGCGGUACCGGAAUAGAAAGCCACGGCUAACUACGUGCCAGCAGCCGCGGUAAUUC